AAUUGGGCACACACGUAAACCGGAAGUAGGCAGGGAAACAUGUUUUCAACUGUUACGGCAGAGGGCACCAAAUUUGAACGGCCACACCCCCUCCCUCGCCAAAAAGUUGUGCAACUUUUUAUCUGGGGCUCACAUGCUCAAACUUUUUGCCUGGGGUCCAUCUGGAUAUAUUUUCUGAUCUUGUAACAGCAUAGCUAACCCUAUGCUUUCGGAAACGUAAAAAAAAAAGAAUUCAAUUUUAGAAACAUUUCCCAUUAUCGCGUGGGAAAAAAUAGCUGACGAGUCAAUGCGUGCAACCCAACAGGCCCCAAACGGACUUUGCAGCAACUAAAAAUGAAAUAUAAAAAUGUAGUUCAAACAGUUACUGAUGAUGGUGUAAUCUGUCUGGUGGAGCCUUCUGCCAUAACACACCUCCAUGCUGUUGAGGAUGAUGAAGACACCUUAUCAGCUGCCACAGAGAGGGAAGAUGCAGAGAGGCCUGUUGAGAGCAAUGCCGGAAGUUACAAUGAGGAUGAAGGUCCAUCAACCUCCACAGCACAGCUUAGAUGUUGUUCAGCAUUGACCCACAACUUACAAUGACACUAAGUAGACAUGGCACUGUGAAAUUCAAAGUCAAUUAUGUUCCUAUAGCUCCCUGUCAAACAACUUUACAAAGUAUAUUUAGAAUCCCAAAUAAACAAAUCACACCUAGAAAUGGAGCACAUAAGGCUGCAGAUCACCAACUACAAAAAGGAAACAGAACUGCUGGAACAUCAGUUAAAGGAAAUAAAGAAGACCCCAUAAAAUGA